rnacentral:rRNA from 1 species
GGGUUGUGAGGUUAAGCGACUAAGCGUACACGGUGGAUGCCCUGGCAGUCAGAGGCGAUGAAGGACGUGCUAAUCUGCGAUAAGCGCCGGUAAGGUGAUAUGAACCGUUAUAACCGGCGAUUUCCGAAUGGGGAAACCCAGUGUGAUUCGUCACACUAUCAUUAACUGAAUCCAUAGGUUAAUGAGGCGAACCGGGGGAACUGAAACAUCUAAGUACCCCGAGGAAAAGAAAUCAACCGAGAUUCCCCCAGUAGCGGCGAGCGAACGGGGAGGAGCCCAGAGCCUGAAUCAGCAUGUGUGUUAGUGGAAGCGUCUGGAAAGGCGCGCGAUACAGGGUGACAGCCCCGUACACAAAAGCGCAUGUGCUGUGAGCUCGAUGAGUAGGGCGGGACACGUGGUAUCCUGUCUGAAUAUGGGGGGACCAUCCUCCAAGGCUAAAUACUCCUGACUGACCGAUAGUGAACCAGUACCGUGAGGGAAAGGCGAAAAGAACCCCGGCGAGGGGAGUGAAAAAGAACCUGAAACCGUGUACGUACAAGCAGUGGGAGCACAGGUUUACCUGUGUGACUGCGUACCUUUUGUAUAAUGGGUCAGCGACUUAUAUUCUGUAGCAAGGUUAACCGUAUAGGGGAGCCGGAGGGAAACCGAGUCUUAACCGGGCGUUAAGUUGCAGGGUAUAGACCCGAAACCCGGUGAUCUAGCCAUGGGCAGGUUGAAGGUUGGGUAACACUAACUGGAGGACCGAACCGACUAAUGUUGAAAAAUUAGCGGAUGACCUGUGGCUGGGGGUGAAAGGCCAAUCAAACCGGGAGAUAGCUGGUUCUCCCCGAAAGCUAUUUAGGUAGCGCCUCGUGAAUUCAUCUCCGGGGGUAGAGCACUGUUUCGGCUAGGGGGCCAUCCCGGCUUACCAACCCGAUGCAAACUGCGAAUACCGGAGAAUGUUAUCACGGGAGACACACGGCGGGUGCUAACGUCCGUCGUGAAGAGGGAAACAACCCAGACCGCCAGCUAAGGUCCCAAAGUCAUGGUUAAGUGGGAAACGAUGUGGGAAGGCCCAGACAGCCAGGAUGUUGGCUUAGAAGCAGCCAUCAUUUAAAGAAAGCGUAAUAGCUCACUGGUCGAGUCGGCCUGCGCGGAAGAUGUAACGGGGCUAAACCAUGCACCGAAGCUGCGGCAGCGACACUCAGGUGUUGUUGGGUAGGGGAGCGUUCUGUAAGCCUGUGAAGGUGGCCUGUGAGGGUUGCUGGAGGUAUCAGAAGUGCGAAUGCUGACAUAAGUAACGAUAAAGCGGGUGAAAAGCCCGCUCGCCGGAAGACCAAGGGUUCCUGUCCAACGUUAAUCGGGGCAGGGUGAGUCGACCCCUAAGGCGAGGCCGAAAGGCGUAGUCGAUGGGAAACGGGUUAAUAUUCCCGUACUUGGUGUUACUGCGAAGGGGGGACGGAGAAGGCUAUGUUGGCCGGGCGACGGUUGUCCCGGUUUAAGCGUGUAGGUGUGUGUUCCAGGUAAAUCCGGUUCACUUUAACACUGAGGCGUGACGACGAGGCACUACGGUGCUGAAGCAACAAAUGCCCUGCUUCCAGGAAAAGCCUCUAAGCAUCAGGUAACAUCAAAUCGUACCCCAAACCGACACAGGUGGUCAGGUAGAGAAUACCAAGGCGCUUGAGAGAACUCGGGUGAAGGAACUAGGCAAAAUGGUGCCGUAACUUCGGGAGAAGGCACGCUGACACGUAGGUGAAGUGAUUUACUCAUGGAGCUGAAGUCAGUCGAAGAUACCAGCUGGCUGCAACUGUUUAUUAAAAACACAGCACUGUGCAAACACGAAAGUGGACGUAUACGGUGUGACGCCUGCCCGGUGCCGGAAGGUUAAUUGAUGGGGUCAGCGCAAGCGAAGCUCCUGAACGAAGCCCCGGUAAACGGCGGCCGUAACUAUAACGGUCCUAAGGUAGCGAAAUUCCUUGUCGGGUAAGUUCCGACCUGCACGAAUGGCGUAAUGAUGGCCAGGCUGUCUCCACCCGAGACUCAGUGAAAUUGAACUCGCUGUGAAGAUGCAGUGUACCCGCGGCAAGACGGAAAGACCCCGUGAACCUUUACUAUAGCUUGACACUGAACAUUGAGCCUUGAUGUGUAGGAUAG